rnacentral:SRP_RNA from 1 species
GCUGGGCAUGGUGGCUCAUGCCUGUAAUCCCAGCACUUUGGGAGGCCGAGGCGGGUGGAUCACCUGAGGUCAGGAGUUUGAGACCAGCCUGGCCAACAUGGUGAAACCCUGUCUCUA